UUGUUUCAUGGUAGCCAUAUGUGAUAAGUAAUAUCAUAAAUCAAAACUACGUUAGCAUAUCUCACAUUACAAGAUCUUUCUCUAAUAAACUUAAGAAACUCAUCCAAAGAUAAAGAAAAAAUGUUGAUGAAUGCUGAAUUGGGGCCAUUCUCCAUACAUGUGCUACCAUAUGACAUUGGAGUAUAACAUGCUGAAUAGACUCC
rnacentral:lncRNA from 1 species